AUAUUUGUGCAGCUUUCUUUUGCUGGAAAAAUAUUCUUAUUUCUCUUCCUUCCACUGGUUUGCAGCACUUGAUUAUUUUAGUUACCUACCUCGACAAAUGUAAUUGCACCAACAAUAGCAUUGUGUAAGAAACAUUUGCAAUCAAUUAAGUGGCGCUUAAAUUUCUUAUAUUUCAUUGUUUUCUUUGCACUUAUGACGCUUAUUGACUAAUUUUUGCCAGGUUUUAUCUCACAUCAUCAAGAUGCUCUUGAUUAAGUUUCUUCUAAAUGUAAUCAGGCAAGUCUAAGAAAAGUCAUGUUUGUUAGCUGUAUGGAAUAUCUUUGUUGUAUAAGGUGCAAUUUCUGUAGUUUUAGAUAGUUUAGACACAAUACAGUGUUUAUCAGAUAGUUCUAUUAAAGACAAGGAAUUUCUUUUAUCUAUUUUAGAUGAUACUAAGCUGCACACUUUGCUGAAUCUAUAUGAUAGAAUAAGC